GCCCGGCUAGCGCAAUGGUAGCGCGUAAGACUUCUAACAAUUCCUCUGGAUCUUCAGAGGUGAUUGACAUCUUAAGGCUGUGGGUUCGAGUCCCACGUCGGGUG
rfam:Podospora anserina genomic DNA, chromosome 6.